rnacentral:tRNA from 2 species
CAGAAAGUAGUUUAGUUGAAAAUACCAGCUUUGGGAGUUGGUGAGGAA